rnacentral:tRNA from 1 species
AGGAACUGUGCCUGAAUGUUUAAGGACCACUUUGAUAGAGUGACUUAUGGGGGUUAAAAUCCCCCCAAUUCCUA